ACAUCUUAAAGCAUUACCAAAACUCUUUGCUUCUACUUUGAGCCUUAAAGUAAGAUCUCAGUGUAUUACAGACAAGGAAGGGCCUGGAAAUCAGCUAGCCUGGCUCUUCUGCAGAGUUGCCUCUUUAGCCUUGCUUUAAGCAUCUCUGUGGGACAAAGCCAUCAUGGAAAUGUCAUUUGCUGCGUUUAUCUGCUUACCUCUGACUGCAGCACUCUCUUCAGAGGAUGAGGGAGGAUCCUCAUACUCAGGAAAUAAGUAACUUCCUGGGUCUAAGAAAGGGGAACUUAGAAGUUUCAAAUGACCCUCCAACACUAUGUAGACUGAGGAGCCUCUGACCAACUCAGCUUCUGAAAAAAAUCCAAACCUGUCCCUGCAGUUUCGGCUGUGCUGUUUCCGGAGUCAAGUAUUGAGGUUGAAGGAGGCUGAUUAGGCCUGGUCUGUGGCAGAAUGGUGCCCAAGCAGGGACCUCUGGACAGGACAGAUGGCAAAUUUGGACACAUUUACAGGAUGACAUGUCAUGCAAUAUUAAAAUGAAAAGUGACUUUGUGUGCUGGUAUAAGAAGAUCUUGAAGAUAGAGAUGACAGACCACCUGGACAAUGCUUCCUGAUCGUUUUUGUUAAAGGUAAUCAUUUUACACAGACUUCUAAAUCUUAUUAAAGAAAUACUUUUCAUGUAUAAUAAAAACUCCCACAGUAGUGUUAAAUAAUCAUAAAAGUCUCUAAUAUUAGUUUGUGUUACAAACGACUGGGCUUAGUCAGUCAAUAGCAGUAAUGAGACAGAAGGGAACUUAAGACAGAAUGAAAUUCUGACCAUGGGAAUUGACCUAUUGUCACUCAGUACGGUUCCAUGGAGAGACUGAUAUGCAGAGAGGUGCAUGGGUAUAAUUUCUGAUUUAGAAUCACUUUAGCAAAAGUUAAUCUUUUUAUAGUUGCAGAGUUUACUCUCAAUUAAGAUGUACAACUGCUAUUUUUAUAUCCUAUCUCCCUGCCUUUCUAGACAAUGAACAGCAGAAAGAGAUUUCAGGGAGAAACUUGUCAAGGGCUCAGUGUCCUCCAUGGCAUGACCCCCCAGCCCCAGUGAUGUUUCCUCAGGGCCCAGGGCCCACUCUCUUGGUGAGCUGCUGUCUACACAGCAGCUUGUGACAUAGCCUGAGUCUGCUCCUCUCCUCUUCUCUAGUUAACUGUUUUCCAUUGAGUCUAGCAGUAUUUCCUCAGGCCCAGAUCUAUUCAUCCUCUGCUAACUUAUCCCUCAUGGUACAGUCUUCAUCGCCACUGUGUCCUAAAACUCUGACUGUAACAGAAUACCUAAUUUAGGUAUAACCAAGUGUGUUUGUUCUGUUUCUCCCUGAAUGAGAGAUCCAAGGAACAGGUGAAAAUUCAACAACUUUAAGAUCUAUCCUGGGCUCUGGCAGCUUUCCAUAGGACCAGAAUUCUAUUCUCAGAACCUACAUGGUGACCUACCAUUUUCAACACUGGGUUCAGGAGCUCUGAUGCCUUCUUUUCGCCUCUUCUGAAGCCAGACAUAUACAUGAUUCACACACACACAGACAAACACAUAGUAAUAUAUACAUAUAUGUGUGUAUAUAUAUAUAUAUAUAUAUAUAUAUAUACACCCACACAUAUAAAAUUAAAAGAAAUUCUAGCCUUGGAUGUGGGGCUAAAUAUAUGAUAACCUGAAUUUGUUGAUUUGGGGAGGAAUAGGUAUGGAAGACUUUGGAAAUUUGGGCUAGAAACAUUACUUAAGAACACUACUUAGAGAGGAGAGACUUGUUGGAGAUACAGAUUUAGGGCUGAGUGUUCCAAGGUCUCGAACUCUCUGCAUAAGGUUGGACUGUGGGCCUGUAAAUUCAAACAAGACAUUUCUAAAUACGGUCUUUGUUCAUUGAGCUUCUCAUGCCUGUAUUCAUGUAUGUUGACCAUGUGCACGGUCCCUACUUUCCCCUCACUCCUUCCAGACCAACUCUUACCACUCCAACUUUCUGUUUCUGUAAAAAAUGAUAUUUCUUCUUCUUCUUCUGCUUCUUCUGCUGCUGCUUCUUCUUCUGCUUCUUCUGCUGCUUCUUCUUCUUCUUCUUCUUCUUCUUCUUCUUCUUCUUCUUCUUCUUCUUCUUCUUCUUCUUCUUCUUCUUCGUUUUUAAUGAUCCGUGGCAUUACUAGCUUUCCCUCAUGUUCACCUCUCAAUCUCUGCCCACUAUGGAAUGAUAGUCUCCUCCUAGCUGCCUUUGGAUCAAGAAAAGGAACUCUUGGCUCAUCCAGCACCAUGCAUGCCUGGAUGCUGCCAUGCUUCCUGCCAUGAUGAUGAUGGACUGCACCUCUGAAAUUAUAAGCCAGCCCCAAUUAAACAUUUUGUUUUUUCUUAAAAAAUGAUAUUUUAUGAACUGUAGAGAUGGUGUAGUGGUUAAGAUCACUGGGUGUUCUUCCAGAGGACCUGGGUUUAAUUCUCAGCACUGACAUUGUGGCUCACAUAUGUCUUCAACUCCAGUUCUAGGGGCUCAGAUGUCUCUCUGGCUUUUGCCAGCUUUGCAUGACAUGGUGAGCAUAUAUGUGUGCACCAUAAACUGAUAAUAAAAAUAAACAUUGAAGUUGACAACAUAUAAAAUAAUAAUAAAUCUUUAAGCUAAUGAAGGAAAGCUUACUACUGUAAAACCUGGAUAGGACGUUCCUUCUUCAUGAUGGCUCCUAAGUCUCGGGGGCAGGGCAUAUGACAUAGAUACCCCAUUUGUAUUCUGCAGACACACAUUCUCUGCACCCCAACCACACAUUUCUUCCUUUCUUUAUGUUUCAUCUUUUCAAGACAAGGUUUCUAUGUAUACACCUGCCUGUGCUGGAACUCUCUGUGUAGAUCAGAGAGGUUCCCACUAAUUCAGAGAUCUGUCUAUCUUUGAAUCCAGAAUGCUGGAAUUAAAGGCAUAAUCCAUCAAGCCCAUCCAACAACACAUCCCUAAUCAACAUAUGCGAAAUAAAACAAAAAGGACGUGAGUAAAUAAAGAUAUGCAACCAAAUGUAAAGAAGAAAGUUAGAAUAGGUCUCAGCAAGAAUUAAAUAUGGAAUAGAAAUGAUAAAGAAAUUCAAUGGAAACAAAUUUUUUUCAAAAGUUUCCUGAACUUCAUAGACAAUUGUAUAGUCUGACUAAAGAACACAAAAUAUACUAGAACUGUGUAAUCACAAAUCAAAGAGAAGCCCCAAAAACCUUGUAAAGUAAUAUAAUUACAAGAGAAUACUCUGAAAAUAUUAUGAAAAUUUCAAGUACACAUUGUAUAAUACAGACAGCACCCAUUCGCAGGAACCUGAACACCUGAAAACCAAUCACCUGAAGAAAGUUAGCAAACGUCUAAAGAGAGAGAGAUCCAUUUAAAGAUACAAGUCAGCAGUUAGACAUCCAGAGCCAGCGGUAAGAGCCUUCUAGUAAGGAAAUUGCAGAAAGGACAUUGCUGUUCUAGGGAAUUCAGCCGAGAAGAAUGCUCAGAUUUUUUUUGGAUUAAUUACUUUAUUUCCUGACUGCAGUUUCCCCUCCGUGCUUCCUCCACUACCUAACUCCUCAAAAAUGUUGUUUAAGCCAAUAGAAACUCUUCAUUAGCUGGCCCUAAUUAUUGUAAAUGUUUGGCAUUCCAGUAUAGAAUGGAGCUUAAACCAGAUUUCAGAAGAGAAAAACAUUAUUAAGUGGCCUAAAACCGUGCUUGUGAUCUUUUGGUGAAGAAAUGUGGUUGCCUUUUGCUCCUGUCCAAAAAUACAAAACAAAACAAACAAAACAAAACAAAACAAAACACCAAAAACAAAACAAAAUAAAACCUGCCUCAGGCUAAAUUGAAGAGUUUGGGAUUAAUGACUUGGGCAGAGAUGAUUUCAAGACCUCUUAAUAUUCCUGGGUCAUGAUGCUGCCAUUGGUUACUCUCAUUCCAAUGUAUAAUGAAAAGGAGCAAGCUGAGCAGGGAAAAGUACAAAAUGUACAGUUUGAGGAGAAAAGGAGCCCCAGGAAGUGUGAGAAGAGAGUCCAGUGCUCAAUGAGAUAAAAAAAAUGUAAGGAGAAGCUAGAUUCUAAAAGGAAUAAAAGGAGUUUGGCCUCAGAGAAAGACAUCAGUCAGCUAAGCUUCUAAUUUGUUAAAAGAAUGUAAAAGAUGGUUAAGCAAUGAAGGAAGCUAUCAGAUACAAAGGCUGAAUGCACUGUAUGUGAAUGAGGAGCCAUGUUCCAGCCUAAGGAAGCAGCAAAACUUGGCUGCUUUGGCCAUGAGGUUCUGGCUUUAGAGUCAAGGGUACAGGAAGGGGGUGUGGAAUCCAUUUGGGGCUAAGUAAAGCCGCUGAGGCCAGGCACGUGUCAGACAUGUGCCUGCGUGGAGGCUCAGAAAGGCCACUGUGUGAAGCUGUGAGGGUGAAGCCAGGAUUUCACUCCAGACUCCAAGAUUACAAAGAAGACAGAGUCAUGGCCUACCUAUCAAGGAGAGCUGCUGACAGGUGGAGAACCGGCACGGAGGACAGAAGUCUGUUGCAGUCAGCAAAGCUGAAAGAUUAGGAGCUCUGAAGAGCACUUUGACAACAGGCAUGGAGAUGUGGGGUUUGAAGUUGGACCUGCUGGUCGUCCAUCUUGCUCUGGCCAAGUAUUUCCUCGAUCUGCUCUAUUUUCUCCCUUUCAGAAUGGAAAUGCAUAUUCUGUGCCAUAUUAGGUUAGAAGUAUGGGAACUGCUUUUUAAUUUUAAUUUUGCAGGGGUUACAGUGAAGAGGUUGCCAUGAGUCUCAAAAGAGACUUUGAACUCUGGCCUUUUAAAUGGGGUGAGACUGUGAUAGACCAUGGAGACAUUUUAAAUUGGCCUGAAUGCAUAUUUGCAUUAUGAUAUGGCCUCAAGCCUAAGGGGGCCACAAGGUACAAGGUGGUGGUUUGAAUAAAAAUACUCACCAUAAACUAAAAUAUUUGAAUGUUUGAUCAUUAAGGUAUGGCCCUACCUGAGAGGGAUUAGGAAUAUGUCCUUUUUGGAGUAGGUCUGGCCUUACUGGAGGAAGUGUGUCACUGGGGAAGAACUUUGAGAUUUCAAAAAGCUAAUCCCAAGCCCAGAGACUCUUGCUUCUUGCUGCCUUUGGAUCUGGAUGUAGAACUGUCAGCUACCAUGUCUGCCUGCAUACUGCCAUGUUCCUCCCCACGAGGAUAAUGAAUUAAACCCAUGGAACCAUAAGCAAGCCUCAAUCAAAUGCUGUCUUCAGUAGGAGUUGGCAUAGUCAUGGAUUCUCUUUACAGCACCAGAACUCUGAGCAAAACAACCUGAUUCCUCCUUUAGUUGCUCUUCGGCAGUGUGUUUCAUCACAGCAAUUACAACAACACAGUGUCAGAUCACCUGGACCCAAUGCAGCUAUAUGGGGAUGGUUUCCUGGAACUGGUCAGAGGAUAGCCCUGAGUACCAGUCCAGUACCAGUACAAGAGAAAACCUAGAAUGGUUCAGUACGGUAGUAAAGGAGUGGUGUUGAAAAUCUCAGAAACUUUCACGUGCCAGAGUGGAUGGAACAGCAAAGCAUUCUGGGAAAUGUGCACAGUCCAUGCUGCUCUGUGGGAUGCUGGAGCUGCCAUGUUGAGAAGCAUAGUGAGGAUGACCAGGGAGAAGGACACCAGCACCGGUGGAAGCUCAGGGAUGCUGAGGGCUCAGGGCUGGGGGUGGAGUUAGGAGACUGUGUUCCUGAGUCCCAGACAAUAAGGUACAGAAAAAUCCCAUCAGGAUAGACUGUCAGGAGCAGUAACAUCAAGGACAGAGGUGCACAAAGGAGUAAGGAAGGAAGGAAGGAACAGCCUGAGAUCUGACUGCAUAAGGGGUGCAUGGCUAAUAUAAUACAAAGAUCUUAAAUGCAGAUAGAUGGUUAGCCAACCCAGAUGUGACUAAACAAAGCAAAUGAAGAGGAGUCUGAAAGCUGCCUUCUCAGGGCAAAAGAAAAUAGAGAAGUCCUCAAGAACAUCAAAAUUAAACACUACAUUUUAAAAAAAACUUGUCAUUUCUGUCUCUCUGUGGCUUUGGAGUCGUGUCGGUUUGUCUCUAUAUCACAAGCCCAUCUAAGGACCUAUAGCUAUUGGUGCUUGCUGGUCCUGAUGAGGAGACCCUAGCUCAGGGGUAGAGCAUUUGGUUAGUGCUCAUGGGGAUCUGGAAGGAAAGCGAAGCCCUUUCUCAAGCAUUAGGUGAAACGCAUGCGUGCUGUGGGUGUAUAAGUAGAUUUUACCUUUUUUAAAUUUUUUUUUUAGUAUUUAAAACCAUUUUAAAAUGUAAAUAUAUUUUAAUCAUAUCAUCCCCUCCCUCAAGCUCUUCCUGAUUCUCUCCUCCCACCCGGCUACAACUUUCAGUUCUUUCUCAAAAAAGCAACCCAAAAACCAAGCAUAAAUACAAGGGCCCAAAACCUAAAAAAUAAAAUAAAAUUCAAUAUCAUCCAAAGAGAAGAAACAAAAACGAAAGAAACCACCCAACUGUAAUCAAAUAAAAGUGUGCACAGAAACACACACACACACACACACACACACACACACACACACACACACGGCUUAUUUGUUGGUCAACUAUUCCUGAACAUAAGACCUUCCCUGAAAGGCUUGGUCUUCGCAGUGUCAUUGCACUAAAGAAAACUGGUUUUUCUCUCUCCCAACAGGUAGAUCAGGGAGAGAAGGAAUUGUUGUAAAUUCUACAAUUCAGGAAAUGGUAUGAAAUCUUGCCUUAAAACAAAACAAGAACAAAGGGGUAAAACAUGUGAAAACGUGAGUGGUUGUGACUGCCUUGAUCCUGGAAGUUCCUAAAUACCAUAAAAUGCAGUAAAGGAAGUUCAAGGGCAAAGAGGUCCCAGCAUGGUUGGGGGCUUGCAAAGAGCACCAGGGGGACGCAGUCUUCAGCGCACAGUAUGAGCAGUCUCCAGCGCAAAGUCCAAGGAGCUCUGAAGCUGUCUGAGACCGCCCACAUGCAGGGUCUGGCUGGCACUGUGCCCAUCAACUUGGAGCCUAGGGACUUGGUUUAGGAUUCCUGUGGAUCACAGGGGGCCUGAGGACUGAGGGCCUCACCAGGGAUUCCCUCUGGCAUCUUCCCCUCCUCUUUUGUUCUGAUGGACAGGCCAUCCUAUAGCAACUGUUGAAGCUCCUCUGGUAGGCAGGAAAGGGAGGAACUAUUUAUUGUACAAGGCGGCCACACAGGUGACCCAGUGAUUCAUCCAGAGUGCCUCCCUCCAGCUGCGCAGAAACCCCCUCCUGCACUUGCAACUUCGGUGGCCCCUUUGAGAGAAAUAACAGGGAAGAGGAUGACACUACCCAGUGAUCCAACCACCCUACCCCACUGCCGCCGCCCCGACACCCCCUUCUGCAGUUAUAAAUUUGAAACUCACCAGCACACACAGUGGAUCUCAGAUAACUCAGAAGAACCAAAAGGCAUGGAGCUCCUGUGGAAAGGCUGGAGGCGGCAUUCUUUGCCAUACCCACCGUGGGCAUCAACUGUAACCUAAGAGUUGGGAGAAGAGGUGAGGAUUCUGUGCCACCCUGCAGAGAAUCCCACUUAACAAUUCACAAAAAUGCCAGGCACCAGGGCCUUGAACUCCAGCAAUUGUCGGGAGUCUCUGUGGUUUGCUUGUCCCUCCUUGAGGAUCGCUGAGAGGACUGGUAGGAUGUGGACACUUGAAUAAAUAGCGCUGGGCUGGCGUCUUCCUGCCUGCCCCAACCGCACUGAGCAUAGUCCUGCCUGCCCCAAUCAGCCCCUCCCCUGGAGGUGGCUCAAAGCUUUUCUGAAAGAUUGCUAUUCUUUGGGCAGUUGCUCCCGCCCACAAACGCAAAGUUCUUGCUUCCAGUAGGUGGCGCAGCAGCCUGCGCCUAGAAUGAGACUUGGGCAACCUAAGGCCAAUCCCAGUCCCAGGCAGUGUUCAGGCCCACAGUAACUUAGUCACCCCUAAACAAUUUCUGUCCUGAGUUCAUCAGUCACAGCACCAGUCGCCCCUUCAGUCUCCUGCCUAUCUUGGGUUCCCCUCUGUGGUGCUUUCAAUAUCCUUGGCCCUUGGGAAGCGCUGCUAUUAGGAACUAUGGCCUUGUUGAAGGAGGUGUGGCCUUAUUGGAGAAAGUGUGUCACUGUGGAGCUGGGCUUUGGAGAUCUCCCCCUCUGCUCAGGCUCCACCCAGCAUGAAAUGAGACCUUCCUCCUAACUGCCUGCAGAAAGGAGAUUUCUCCUGGCUGCCUCUGGAUCACAAUGUAGAACCACUGGCUUGUCCAGCCCCAUGUCUACCUGGAUUCUGCGAUGCUUCCUGCCAUGAUGAUAAUGGGCUGAACCACUGACCUUGUAAGCUGCCCCAAUUCAAUGUUUGCCUUUAUGAGAGUUGCCUUGGUCGUGGUGUCUCUUCACAGCAAUGGAAACCCUAACUAAGACACCCUCUGAUCUCCUAAAGCCAUGCUGCACUUCCCACGGGCUUCCCUCUUCCUGCAGCUGAAUCCUAAACUCAUUUGCUCCUCCAGGUCCCUUCCCCAUCACUCUGCCCUCCCCUGUCCUGUUUCUUGUCCCAAUUCUUGCCCCCUUCGCCCAGCCCCCUCCACACCCCUCCCUAGUCACUCUGCCCUUCCCCCACCUCCACCUCCUUCCUUUAACCCCACCUCCCAGUUGAAGACAGAUGCUAUCUUGUCAGCAUGGCUGUGCUUUUCCCCUUAGCUCUGUGACACUGGAAUCUAAGACCUUCAGGUAAGUCCUACAGCCAUAAAAUUAUCCCAAUCAAAAGCAGGCUCUGUGGGCCUGGAUCUGCCUCUGGGGUUAGAGCACUGACUGCUCAUCUGGAGGGAGCACACUGGAAUUCCAUCCCCUCUCUGCAGGGUUCCCUGAGCCUUAGGUAUGGCAAUUUUGAGAUCUAUCCCUUGGGGUGGGGCUCCACAACUCUGUAUAUUGAUUGGUUGUGGUUUCCUGUAGUGGGCUCUAUCGGUUUCAAAGAGAAGCAUCCUUGAUGGGGGUGAAGGGCACACUUACCUGUGGGUUUCGGGACAAAUGUGUAGGGAUGGUUGUUAGGGUUUAGGCUGGCUUUCUAAGGUGGUGGUUGUAGAUUCUCCUAGAUGAACAUGACCUCAGCACUGAUGGGUUAGCCAGGUUUCCAGUACCUUGCUGAGCAUGUCUAAGAUUCAAUGAGAGCUUUUGUCUACUACCAAGGUAUGUGUGCCAUCACUGCACAUAUAGGGCUACUGUGUCACGCUGGUCAUGGAUGUGGCCCAUAAGCCUCCAUAGCUGGGUCAGACUCUUGGUUGUCUCUCUCCUGUGGAAGCUCACAUGUAACCUCUUGGAACCAUGAAAGCUAGUCCCUCAGGAGAGGGGACUUCAGGUCAGUCCCAGCUCAGGGGCUUCUGGGCCCUGUUUGUAAAGAACACCGUGUCGUUUAUCAACAGUGACUUAUCUUCCAACUCUGGUGGCAACCAAGGGCAGAAGAAUUGGGCUAUAUGUCUUGGGAUUCUCUUACACAGCCCUAACCAACAACUCAAAAAAGGGCUUCUCUAAGCCGGGCGGUGGUGGUGCACGUCUUUAAUCCUAGCACUUGGGAGACAGAGGCAGACAGAUUCCUGAGUUAGAGGCCAACCUGGUCUACAGAGUGAGUUCCAGGACAGCCAGGACUACACAGAGAAACCCUGUCUUGAAAAAACAAAAUCAAACAAACAAAAAAAACCAAAACAAAAAACAAACAAAAAAAAGGAGGCGGGGCUUCUCUUGUCUGGAAUUGGGAUAUUGUUAGUUUCUUAGAGGGAGUGCCAUCAGCCCACAUGAAUAAAAGCUCAUUAAAGCUAUAUAUGUAGUUAUACAUGAAAUUACAUUUGUUAUAUACAGCAUGGUACUGAGCCCUGUGAGAAGGCAGCCUCUGGUUUGGGCUAUCAGAAGGUUCAUCAGACCUCAGGGAGAAACCAUAAAGUGAGCUCUUUCCCUCAGGUGAACAGGUCACAAUCGAAUAAGAUAUCCAGAAGGGAGACAUUGCUGCAGGGACUGAACAAGUCACUGUGUGUUAAGAGCUACCUAGCAGGGGGAGAUAAGCAAUCUUGUCUGACAGAGCAUCUCCUGUUCCCCAGAUGCUUGUAAAUCUUAUCUCAUCUAGAGCAAGUGACCGAGGUCAGUUCCCAGUAAGCUGCCACCUUUUCCUCAGCUACCACUUCAGAAUUCAAGGGGUGUCCUCGGUGUUCUGUAUGACCCAAGGAAUCCAUUGAGCACCUAUGGCAAGAUCAAGAUGCCUUAAACACAGGACCUCCUCCUGUCAUCGCGAGCUGACCCAGAAGUCGCAGCCAGCACAGACCCACUGCGGCCUGGGAAAGAUGCAGCUUUCACAGUACUCUUUCACGUCUGGGAUGUCUUUGGCAUCUUCAUCUGCAUACCUUCUUUUGCUGCAGGAACACUCUGCUUGGACAGAUGGCAUAUUUGGACACAUUCACAGGAUGACAUGUCAUGCAAUAUUAAAAUGAAAAGUGACUCUAUGUGCUGGUCUAAGAAGAUCUUGAAGAUAGAGAUGACAGACCACCUGGACAAUGCUUCAUGAUCGUUUUUGUUAAAGAGAAACCUUUGCAGAAGCUACGUUAUUGAUGGAAACAAUACCAGCCCAACAUAGAUGAAGUUCUUGGCUCCCCACAAGGAAAAACCCUACAGAAAUCAGGACUGUCACCCUGAAUUGGGAGGCUCCUGGCACUUUGCCCUUCUGCUUGUUGACAUCCCCUGAAGGAGGAGUUCUCAGGACACAUCAGGUGAAUUCUAGCCAUAACAUCAGGCUCCAAAGAGUUUUCUAGCUAAUAAUGUCCACUAUUGAAGACGUUUCGUUCUUGUCUAUUUGCUGGAUGCCUGGGUUAGCAGAAGCUUGUCUAAGGAGUCACUGCCUGUGUUGAAGUGGGCUCUGCAGUGAAAUAGCUGUUGGGAAGUUACCCAAGCUCCUGUAAGUAACCUCACACUGGACUCCUUAGCAACCCCGAAGGAAGCUCAGUAGAUCCUCAAGUUGAAUGUCUGCACAGUUGGUACUUCAGUCUGCCAUUAAGUUCUAUUUCUGGUGGGUGUGUACGUGUGUGCGUACGUGUGUGUGUGUGUGUGUGUGUGUGUGUGUGUGUGUGUGUGUUACAAAUCUGUUGUUCUUCAGGGAUAACUUCCCCCUUUUGUGUCUCAGGGUGCUCAGUUGGGAGUUCCCUAAUCCUUCCCUCUUCUUACACUUAGCUGCCUGGAGUCAUGGCCUCAGCCAUGGCCUUGUGGAUAUUUUCUAGCUCACAUAAACAAUCCUGAGAGAACAUUCGUGGUCGUAACAGCAAGAAAGUUUAUGGGAAAAGAGGACACUGUGACUGUUGGUUCCAGGAGCUGAAGAUUGCCACCUGACCUUCAGAGAGCCCCCAGUCUCUCCCACUCCCCACCCCCCAUCCCU